rnacentral:rRNA from 1 species
CCCUUAGAUGUCCUGGGCCGCACGCGCGUUACACUGAUGCAUUCAACGAGCUUAUAACCUUGGCCGAGAGGCCUGGGCAAUCUUGUUAACGUGCAUCGUGAUAGGGAUAGAUUAUUGAAAUUAUUAAUCUUGAACGAGGAAUUCCUAGUAAACGCAGAUCAUCAAUCUGCAUUGAUUACGUCCCUGCCCUUUGUACACACCGCCCGUCGCACCUACCGAUUGGAUGGUCCGGUGAAGCCUCGGGAUUGUGGUUGGUUUCCUUUAUUGGAGAUUGAUUGCGAGAACUUGUCUAAACCUUAUCAUUUAGAGGAAGGUGAAGUCGUAACA